AUGCAGCCAGGAGUCGGUCUACUAAUCUUGGCCAUGAUGCCUAUAUACAUGAUCAUUGCCUUGGAUAUCGUCAUAAUUAUUUGCUUUUCUAUCAAUUGCCCAACAGUAAUUUGUUUACCCACCAUAUACUAUUUUCUUGAGAGAAGCCACGCUAGUGAAAUCUAUGGCCACCGGGUCUAUUUUCUAUCAUAUUGUUUUCAGAUCUAUUAUUCCAAAAAAACAAAAUACCUUGUUGCACUUUUUAUUUAUUUGUUUUGUGUUUUUACAAGAUAUAUUUAUCCAAUCUCAUACAAUUUUAUCUAUCUUUUUACCGUGGAGGAAUUGAUAACCCCUCUUACGUGUUGGGUUGCAAGUAUUUGUUCUUUGUGUGCAGGUACCGUUUACAUAGUGUUUCUUGGUUCUCCGACUAGAUUGAUAACCUUGGUUUCAUAA
rnacentral:rRNA from 1 species